rnacentral:rRNA from 1 species
AUACGUAGGGGGCGAGCGUUGUCCGGAAUGAUUGGGCGUAAAGGGCGCGUAGGCGGCCCGGUAAGUCUGGAGUGAAAGUCCUGUUUUUAAGAUGGGAAUUGCUUUGGAUACUGUCGGGCUUGAGUGCAGGAGAGGUAAGUGGAAUUCCCAGUGUAGCGGUGAAAUGCGUAGAGAUUGGGAGGAACACCAGUGGCGAAGGCGACUUACUGGACUGUAACUGACGCUGAGGCGCGAAAGUGUGGGGAGCAAACAGGAUUAGAUACCCUGGUAGUCCACACUGUGAACGAUGAAUGCUAGGUGUAGGGGGUAUCGACCCCUUCUGUGCCGCAGUCAACACAAUAAGCAUUCCGCCUGGGGAGUACGGCCGCAAGGUUGAAACUCAAAGGAAUUGGCGGGG